rnacentral:rRNA from 1 species
GGGUUGGGCUGUUCGCCCAUUAAAGCGGCACGCGAGCUGGGUUUAGAACGUCGUGAGACAGUUCGGUCCCUAUCCGCCGCGCGCGUAAGAGUUUUGAGAAGGGCUGUCCCUAGUACGAGAGGACCGGGACGGACGAACCUCUGGUGUGCCAGUUGUCCUGCCAAGGGCACGGCUGGUUGGCUACGUUCGGAAGGGAUAACCGCUGAAAGCAUCUAAGCGGGAAGCUCGCUUCAAGAUGAGAACUCUCACCGGAUAACCGGGUAAGGCCCCCAGCGAGACCACUGGGUUGAUAGGCCGGAGGUGGAAGUGCAGCAAUGCAUGGAGCUGACCGGUACUAAUAGGCCGAGGGCUUGACUACACCUUCUUCU